rnacentral:misc_RNA from 1 species
AGAGGUGUGCCAGUCGAUGAGAAGCAACUGCAGUUACCUCGCCGUCCAUCAAUGUCCACGGCCGCUGUGCGCGUCUCGGACGUGUUGAUGGACAGCGGCGGCACCGAGUGUCAGUGUGUAGAUAGUAUAAAUAAAUAUUAUGUCAGUCGCAUCGAGUCCCUUGCACAGCGGGAACGCUCAGAGCUAUCGUUCGAUCACAUCGGGAUGUUUGUCUACGCCGUGUUUGUUUGUGUGUAGAAAAAUGCGAGAUGAUUAAUUUAUAGCUUUUAUUAAACAGAUUUCACAUAAAGGUAACAUACAUUUUUUUUAUAAAUAUAUUAAAUAUGGAUAGGUAGGCACUUAAAAUAUUUAGUGAUAAAAUACUGUCACGCCUAAUAACUUACAAUUAGGUGAAACAUACAACACAUUUUUAAUUUUAACAAUGUCGUGCACUUAAAACAAACUAAGUUAAAGAUCACUGUAACGUUAAACUAUAAAAAUCUCAUUCAAUUCGGAUUUGUACUUGCAGAAAACAUUAAUAAGGUCACCAACAUCGGCAGUGUUUGUCAAAACAUAGAAACUGGCAAGGCAAGUAACGCGUGCGUACUUAGGAGUGCUGACAGCGCUAUCGCGACUGACAUCGCUCGAAUGUUUCUUUGUCACGAGGAGUUGACAGCGGAACAAGAUCGGUACGGCGGACAUACCGGCCACAACAGCACAGUGCUACUCGACUGCGGCAAGCUUUGCGUUCUCGAGAACGAACCACCCCGAGCCCGCGCGCACCUACCGACGCGGGCUCGCUACUUCGCGGCUAAUACGAACGUAGACGCGUAUGACGUGACACUGACAAGUUAGUCUCAACUGUUAGGUGACAUUAGAAGACGGCAAAACAAACUGCAGCGUGCGUGCAACUGUUAGAUUGACGGGUCCUACAGCGAUGAACUUAAUCGAACGUUACAGACGAAUGAUACAUGCUUGAGGAUGAGGCUAAAACUAGGACUUGAGUACAGGUCGCCGAAGCAGUUAGUGGUCAGAGUGGGCGUGAAGGUGGCAGUGUGAGCGAAAGUCGCUCCAGUCGAGACCACGGGCGAUUAUUCAAGUCCCAGUUUUAUUUACAAAUUAAAUAACUAUCCUAAAUGAAACGAUGUGCUCGAUUAAAUAAAAGAAAUUGAGAUCGUUACUUAGGUUUUACAGGUUGGAUCUCAAUAAAACACAAAAAGCAUGAUAUAAAUUUUAAUUUUUAAUGUUAAUAAGGCCAAGUAAAUCAUAAGUCCUGUAAAGUAGCGUAGGCUUACAUUACGAGAGAGUAUUGGGUGAAAAAUACAUUUGACGUAACGCCAGAAGACGCGUCUUGUGUAUCACGCAAUGUGUUCUACUUCACAAAUAUAUUCGAUAGCAACAUUUAGUAAACAUCGUAGCGGUAAAGCAAACAAAACAAGUCGUAUAAUAUUGCUUGUCGUGUUAAUUACAUGUUACGUGUGACCAAAUUUACAGAAGCUCCUCGCUCGUCGCAUCUCUCCGGCGCCUGCUGCCUGCCUGACUAGGACUAUUUACACAAAAAGCUCAAUUGUACAGCAAUGUUAGAUGCAGUAUCGCGCAAAUUAUACUACCGAGUUAAGUUAACAACUGUCCACCGCGAGUGUUGUUAGCUGAGCGCGCUCGCGGUCGAACGCGGGCUGUUCCCGUGCUCAGUGACGACGGGUGCGUGGCUUGGACAUAGUGAUAAGCUCAAUGGUGCAUCGAGAGCGGUCUAUGCGUCAUAGUAUCACGACUUGAGUGUACGCGAGGUAUAGAGAUGAAACAAAGAAACACUACAUUAAUGGAUUAAAAGUGCGCGACGCGAGCUCGCUGCCUGUAUCUAUGUCUUACUUUUGACGACUAGCUUAGCCGAAGUCUCGACCUGGCCCGCGGCGGUGGUGGCGCGGCAGGUGAACGUGCCGGUGUCCUCUUCGUAGGUGUUGCCGAUCAACAGCACGGCGUUGUUGCCUUCGUGUAUCAUCUGCAAACGAUUUGAUGAUAACGUUAACUUAUCACUACUUUCUAUAUACAUUAAUAAAAUAUAAUAUUACUUAAGGGGAAUUAUCCACAUUAAGGUAUACGUAAUUAUCCUAAUAUACAUGAGAUAAUUUUCAGAAAUAAUACUAUAUUAUGAUAAUGGUGUAUACUUACUUGGAAAUCUGGAGUUUCCGGUAUAAGAGCGCCUUCUCGUAGCCAUUGAAUGGUCGGCUUGGCUUUACUGGUGAUAUGAGUCUUGAACUGCGCAGGCUGACCCUCAUAGACGACGAUAUCACGAAGUGGAGUAAGAGUUGGUAAAUUUUCAGCUUGAUCUGGUUGCAGAACUUUGAGUUUAGCAGCAACAGUCACGCGGCCAGCUGAGUUGUAAGCGACGCAUUUGUAAUCACCCUCAUCUUCAGGGAAAGCCUCAGAAAUGCGUAGAGUGUAAUCGUCUGCAGUUCUAGACAUUUGGAAGUACUUUGAUGGCUUAAUCAACUUGUCUCCUUUGUACC